GGACUACACGGGUAUCUAAUCCUUAUCGCUCCCCACGCUUUCGUCCUAGCAGUGUCAGGUGGCACCCAGAAGCCUGCCUACGCUAUUGGUGUUCCGAACGAUAUCAACGCAUUUCACUACUACACCGUUCGUUCCAGCUUCCUCUUUGCCCCUCUAGUUUACAAGUUUCAAAAGACAGUCUCCAGGUUGAGCCUGAAGAUUUCACUUCUGACUUUGUAAACCACCUAUCGGUACGCUUUACGCCCAAUGAUUCCGGAUAACGCUUGAGGUCUCUGUAUUACCGCGGCUGCUGGCAC
rnacentral:rRNA from 1 species